rnacentral:rRNA from 1 species
UGUAUGUUAAACGAGAAGACUUUAGAUAUGAUCCAGAGUACCACGGGACACGUGAAACCCUGUGGGAAGCAGGAGGGACCACCCUCCAAGGCUAAAUACUACCUAGUGACCGAUAGCGUAUAGUACCGUGAGGGAAAGGUGAAAAGAACCCCGGGAGGGGAGUGAAAUAGAACCUGAAACCCUGCACUUACAAGCUGUGGAAGCACAUUUCUUGUGUGACCGCGUACUUUUUGUAGAACGGGCCAACGAGUUACGUUAAGUAG